rnacentral:rRNA from 1 species
UACGAAGGGUGCAAGCGUUACUCGGAAUUACUGGGCGUAAAGCGUGCGUAGGUGGUGAGUUAAGUCUGUCGUGAAAGCCCCGGGCUCAACCUGGGAAUGGCGAUGGAUACUGGCUCGCUAGAGUGCGGUAGAGGGUGGUGGAAUUCCCGGUGUAGCAGUGAAAUGCGUAGAUAUCUGGAGGAACACCGGUGGCGAAGGCGGCAUCCUGGACCGAAAUUGACGCUGAGGCGCGAAAGCCAGGGGAGCAAACGGG